GCGCCUGUAGCUCAGUCGGAUAGAGCACCGGUUUCCUAAACCGGGGGUCGCAGGUUCGAAUCCUGCCAGGCGUA
rnacentral:tRNA from 1 species